rfam:Ovis aries breed Texel chromosome 2, whole genome shotgun sequence.
CCUGGUGGCUCAGAGGGUAAAGCAUCUGCCUGCAAUGCAGGAGAACCUGGGUUCGAUCCCUGGGUCAGGA